AUCCAGCUGAUGAGUUCCAAAUAGGAUGAAACACGCAUCCUGGAU
rnacentral:hammerhead_ribozyme from 1 species